CCGCCGCCUCCUUGGGGGCUGGAGACGCGACCCGCUUCACCUCUGCGCCGCCAGGGCCGCCUCCCGCGGGCCGCAGGGCUUCGGGCUCCGUGCGCACGGCGCCGGGGUGCGGACGCAGGAUUCGCCGCGCUCCGGCUCCCCUGGCUGCAAAAGACUGGUCUUCUGCGUGGCUGCCGGAGUUGACCCCACGUUCUGCUCUGCAAAAGAGUUGGAGAUAAAGUUUGGGCCGAAAUCCCCCGGCGGCUGGUACGCUCCGCUCUCCCCGGAGUCCACAGCAGCCUCUCCGGGAACCGAAGACGCAGCGCUCCCGGGAGCCUCGGAGGAGCGCGGUUCCCAAGCUCCUGACGUCCUGCUCGCCCUUUUCAGCUGCUCUGUGGUUUCUGCCUCGAAGAGGAAGUAAUAAAUCUUUCUGGCCCCAGAGUCAAAGAAGACGCUUCAACUUUCCUGGGGUGCUGCGCGGCAAGGUUUCUGCGCGCUUACUGGACCUGUGUACCCGGCUCCUUCGUUUUCAUUACGCCGCCAGCAGGUGGAUGAUCUCCCGCUUCGGGGUGCUGCGUGCACCGUGAUUGACGUCCUCCGGAACUGGGGUGUUGGAGGGGGCGACUCUGUUCUAACCUACGGUAAAACUCUUGUCCCGUUUUUUGGGUUUUGGAGAUGGGAUCAAAGACCUUGACCUCAAAGGAAACACUGUUGGAAGUUGAAAGUCAUUUUUUAGCUAGUUUAAGUACUUUUUGUCAAAGAAAGUUCUAUAAACAACGGCCUCAAUUUUAUCUGUAAAAUGGGGACAACUACUGCCUCCUGAAGAGAGACCAAGGAGCGACUGGAUGCUAGAGCACUGGAAAGGUUAGAGCCCCACCUGCGGCCUGGAGGUGAGAAGACAAAUUGCUGCGGGAGCAGAAGCUCAGCGCAGCGGGUACAGUGAGGACCUCGCAGAGGCGUUUAAAUUGCCUGCUGUCCCAAUGGAGCCGUUACUAACAAAUUUGACAACGUUACUGCAAAAGCAUUGUUGUACUACUCAGAGUAGCACCUCUCCGCCAGAGGACCCUCCUAAAUUUAAGAUCCUGCUGUUAGAGCCGUUAUUCUUCAGGGAGUUACAGAAUCUUCCAAAUACAAGACUUCUUGGGAAGCGAGCUAAGUCGUUUUCCGUGAGUUUUCACGUCGUUUUUAUAUGGGUUUAGUUAUAGGUUAAAAAAAAAAAGUUCGAAUAACUUGAUUUGAUCCUAUUUUCCAGGGAAAAACAAUCUUGAACUAAUAGAAUCAACUUCAGUUAAAUCCCCUACCCCAUCCCACCUUGUGUAAGGAGGAGGCGCCAUCCGGGCAGCGGGGCGGAGGGUAAAGCUACAAUUUUAUAUGUAGCUUUUGCAAGGAGCCCGCCUCGCCCCUGGAAGUUGGGGACAGAUAGAAGUUUACCCCUGUUUACAGAUGAAGCUGGUAGGCUUUCAGUGAGCGGCUUCCCGCGUCUCCCCCUCUGGCCGCUACUUCAUUUCCAGCUCUGCCUCGAAUAUCCUGGUCCCUUCUUCAUUCUGCUAUUUCAAAAACAAAACCCAGCAACUCAAAACUGAAGUUCUGUUGUCCCAUGAAAAGACAGGAAAAAGAGAGAGUUGAGAAGAAAAAAGUAGAUCUUAAUAUUUCCGCAUGAUUCCAGGGAAAGUGAUUUCUAAUAGUUUUAGUUUAAUGUCGGCCUUGACGGUUACCCAGAAAGCGCUGAACUGCAGCUAUUUAAGGAAUCAAACUCACAACCUUGCAGUUUCCAGGCAGGCACAAGGCUUCAUUCUUGAUAGUGGGAAAUGAAAAGUUUGCGCUUAAAGUAGAUAAAUCAAGAAACGGAGAUACGAACGUAUUACAUCAAUUUAUAAAGAAAUUUCCAAAGGCAGAUGUUGAAGAAAGCUACUUCAGAAAGAAUAGAAUAUUUGUUAAUAAGUGAUCAAAUCAAGUAAGUAAUUGUCAGAAGAUUUGAACAGACACUACCGGAAGCCACAUCUGUUUCUUAUAUUUGGAAAACUUCCCCAAAAGAAGAGCAGAGUGCACAGCUGACCGGAGAAGCUGAAAGGAGCCGAGAUGCAUGUCCCCAGGCCCUCUGCGUGUAGGUCCCAGUGUGACUUCAGCCUGGCAAGCCGCUGUGCAGACACAAGAACAGACAAGAUCCAGCCUGACAGUGGCCUCGGAGGGUCUGUGCUGCUAGCGCCGGGGAUCCUGCCAUUCUCUCGGCCUGGCUGGCUUCUCUUCCUGUGGUCUCCAGGAGAUUCCCAGUGACUUUUCCCCUUCUGUGAGCACACAUCAGAGAUCGGUGUAUGCAGUUUAAUAUUAAACUCUGAUUUGUACAGCAGGGCACUGCUCACAGAAGAUGCCAGAACUCCAAAUGUGUACUUCCAUUUCCCACCUGAAAUAUGGAACUACUAACACUAGCUCUAUUUCACUGAGUUCUUCAAAAUAAACCACUUGUUAAAAAAUCUUUUAGAACUGUUAAGUGAUUAGACAGAACAAAUCUGUGUAUAUA